rnacentral:rRNA from 1 species
CCUACGGGUGGCUGCAGUGGGGAAUUUUGGACAAUGGGCGCAAGCCUGAUCCAGCUAUUCCGCGUGUGGGAAGACGGCCUUCGGGUUGUAAACCACUUUUGUAGAGAACGAAAAGUCUGUUGAUAAUACCGAUAGAUGAUGACGGUACUCUAAGACUAAGCACCGGCGAACUACGUGCCAGCAGCCCCGGUAAUACGUAGGGUGGGAGCGUUGAUCGGAAUUAAUGGGCGUGAAGGGUGUGCAGGCGGUGUUGCAAAAUGGAUGGGAAAGCCCCGGGCUUAACCUGGGAAAGCCAUUCGUGACUGCAAGACUAGAGUGCGUCAGAGGGGUGUGGAAUUCCAAGUGUAGCAGUGAAAUGCGUAGAUAUUUGGAAGAACACCGAUGGCGAAGGCAGCCCCCUGGGACGCAACUGACGCUCAUACACGAAAGCGUGGGGAGCAAACAGGAUUAGAUACCCUUGUAGUC